GAAAGGUAGAGAGGGAGUGAAUUCCCCAUCUCUUCCUGUGCUGGGACAUCCAUCUUGUCCUAACCUCAGACAUCAGAGUUCUUUCUUUUUAGACCUUCGGACUUUGGACAAAUAACUCCACAGGCUUUCAUCAUUCUUCAGCUUGAAGAUGACAAAUGCUGAGACUUCUCAACCUCCAUAAUUGAGUAGUUUGAAGCUAUAAAGCAAAGGACCAGCCUUUUGCCCCACAAAGCUGCUAAUAGAGAAGAAGGAAAGUCUUUCUGAAUUGUGUGAAGGGGCAAAGGAAAAUGAAGUGGAUCUCUAUGUCUGGACAUGGAAAGAUAUCUAAGAUGUUGUGAGAAGAAAAAAACCAAUUCUGUGAAUAUGAUAUACAAUUUUCAUUUGUAUACAAUUUACUGAUGUAGCAACCAUUUAAUAAGAAGCUGGGAAAGGCAUCUAGGGGAAAUCAAGGAGAGAAAAGAUUUAUCAUGUCUGACAAGAUGGCUUUGGAAAGGUUGUGGUCUAUCUCCUCACAUGCAUGGGACCAAAACAGUUUGCAGUAAAUUAAACAGGUAAAUGUUGGAGAAAGUUUUUGGCUUGUCUGUUUCUUUUUAAAAUAAACUUACUAUGUUUGUAAGCAUCCUAAAUAAAACAAAACUGCAUUUAUUUUUGUUUACAGAUGAAUAUAUUUCAGAUAUUUUAUGAAUUCAAACUGUCUCCUGAAGUAGUUUGAGCUAGGAAGAUUCAUUGGAGGUUGACUUGAGACGUUGGACAAUAGCAUUUGCUGCAUAUAUUACAUCUUUUUACAUCAUCUUUCCUCUGCUUUUAGUGUCUUUUAUUAUAAUUUGUGGUGGGCAAAUUCCAACAUCCUAUAAGACUGAGUUCAAAUGUCAUUUCUCCACUGUGAAGAUUCACUCUGGAUAAAGUUAAUUUUCCCCAAUGCUUUACCAAGUGGUAGCCUAGUGGUAAAAAUCACAGAAUUUGACUUGAC
rnacentral:lncRNA from 1 species